UACGGAGGGGGCUAGCGUUGUUCGGAAUUACUGGGCGUAAAGGGCGUGUAGGCGGCUUUGUAAGUUAGGCGUGAAAGCCCCGGGCUUAACCUGGGAACUGCGCUUAAAACUGCGAGGCUAGAGAUCGGGAGAGGAGAGUGGAAUUCCCAGUGUAGAGGUGAAAUUCGUAGAUAUUGGGAAGAACACCAGUGGCGAAGGCGACUCGCUGGACAGGUAUUGACGCUGAGGUGCGAAAGCGUGGGGAGCAAACAGG
rnacentral:rRNA from 1 species